rnacentral:rRNA from 1 species
GACGAACGCUGGCGGCACGCUUAACACAUGCAAGUCGAACGGAGUUAUUGGAAGCUUGCUUUUAAUAACUUAGUGGCGGACGGGUGAGUAACACGUGAGCAACCUGCCUUUGAGAGCGGAAUAGCUUCUGGAAACGGAUGGUAAUACCGCAUAACAUUACCGGACCGCAUGAUCUAGUGUGAAAAGAUUUAUCGGUGUAAGAUGGACCCGCGUCUGAUUAGAUAGUUGGUGAGGUAACGGCUCACCAAGUCGACGAUCAGUAGCCGGCCUGAGAGGGUGAACGGCCACAUUGGGACUGAGACACGGCCCAAACUCC